GUGGGGAAUUUUGGACAAUGGGCGCAAGCCUGAUCCAGCAAUGCCGCGUGCAGGAAGAAGGCCUUCGGGUUGUAAACUGCUUUUGUACGGAACGAAAAGGCUCUGGUUAAUACCUGGGGCUCAUGACGGUACCGUAAGAAUAAGCACCGGCUAACUACGUGCCAGCAGCCGCGGUAAUACGUAGGGUGCGAGCGUUAAUCGGAAUUACUGGGCGUAAAGCGUGCGCAGGCGGUGCUGUAAGACAGGCGUGAAAUCCCCGGGCUCAACCUGGGAAUUGCGCUUGUGACUGCAGCGCGGGAGUGCGGCAGAGGGGGAUGGAAUUCCGCGUGUAGCAGUGAAAUGCGUAGAUAUGCGGAGGAACACCGAUGGCGAAGGCAAUCCCCUGGGCCUGCACUGACGCUCAUGCACGAAAGCGUGGGGAGCAAACAGGAUUAGAAACCCGAGUAGUCC
rnacentral:rRNA from 1 species